rnacentral:lncRNA from 1 species
GUCGCGCCGCCGACCUGCUGAAAUUCGAGGUCGGCACCCGUGCGAACUCAGGUAACCUUGGUCGUGCUUGACAGGUAUUGUCACAUCAUCUCAGUUUCUUCAUUUUAUCAAAAAAAAUCUCAGUUUCUUCAGAUUGACAUGGUCAGCCAUGUACUAAAAAUGUGAUGUUUCUGUAGUUAGACUUUUAAAUAGCAAGUGGGGUAUGUGUGUGUUGCAUCUGAUGUGCGUGAGCUCAACCUGGUGACCUCCUGGGAGAAGAAAAAAGGAGCCACAACAGCCCUGGCGAGCUCGAGAUGACGAUGGUGCCACAGGUGGUGUGGGAGAGGAGAUGGUCUCCAUCCAAGGUCCGAGGACCAGCCAUGACGUCGAGCUGCUGCAGCUUGGAGUCAGGAGGGUAUUCGCACCCUGGUGUGUCCCAGUACGUGCUUUGGAAGAGACACGCAUCAAUCUCAACAGACCCUGAUGCGUCCACAUUAUUUGUUUCUGAAACAAAUAGCAGCUCUCCGAUGUAGUAAGGAGAAACCAAGAAUGACAGAGCACCCUCGUGUCAAACUCAACACACCCUGGCAUUUCUCCAUUGUUUGAUUCAGAAACAGGCAGAAACAACUGCUAUAUAUCUCUGAAUUUAUUUAAGGUUGUUUCUCUUAUUUCUAUUCUGAUGUGCACGCAUCUUCCCUUGCUAUCUUCCAUACACAUAUGUGCUACAACCAUGCCAUUUUGUCCUAUAAAUGCGCUACAGAUAUGUGCAACAAAGUAGUCUUCAUGUGCGAAGAAGCAAAGGGCUUUUAUGCGGCUAUGCCAUCAUGCUACAUGUUAGUUGGAAGUCCAAUCUCGGCUUGAUUACCGCUCUUUAAGCAAAAUUAUUAGUAACAGAUCUUAUCCUAGAUUAUUUUUGCUUGAACGAUUUUAGAAGCACAGCUAUCAGUAUGUGCACUUAAUAAAAUGCAAGUCCGAAUGCAGAUGCUGAAAAAAUAUUUUGGAAAUUAUACAUUAUUCAGUCUCCCAGUUUGUGAUUUGCUUUUUGUUUAUGUUGUCCAGAAAUGUACAAAGGACUGACAUGUGUCAUCUAUAGCAUGUCCCCUUUGUCUGAAUGUUCAAGUAGAAGAGUUUCAUCUCAUUUGGCAAGGAGCACUGCAAUAAUACAUGCAACUCUUCACAGCUACUAACAUGAAGUUGCACUCAGGCUCUCGCAUGGACUAAAGAGUUAUUGUCGGUAUGUAUCACUGUUUAAUUUUUACAGUCUAUAG